GGAAACUACAGCUGUGUUUAUCACCUCCAUGUUUUUGGACACAACUUCUGGUCAGAGAGCCGCCUGCUGUCUCUGUCUGUGUCCGAUCCAACAGCUGUGGUGGUCAGAUGGGUGGUGGUGCCGCUGUCUCUGCUGCUGGUGCAGGGGGCGCUGUGGCUGUACUUUAAGGCCAGCAGGGGGCAGACCGGCAGACCGGGCGGACGCUGAGCGGAGUGCAGUGGAGGGAUGAAGUCGGUCCUCUGAACCUUCCUGCUGUGAAGACCAGAUGGUUUUUAUGAGCUUCUUACAGCAAUGAUGAAUCUCAACAGGUUCCCACAGACAGUGGAACAAGGUUCCUUUUCCUUUUGUGGACCCUGGUGGAAAAAGAGCCUUGUUUUGCUGUAUAUUGGACCACGGUGGAUGUCCUUUUUUAAUCUCCUUUUUACCCUUUUUACUCCUUUUUCAUUGAUGUUUUUCAGUCAUUUCAUGGAUGCUCAUUUCAUCAUAUACUACCAUCUGCUCCGCUCAGGCUGACUGUGUUGAACUGAGGAGAUAUUUUUGUGAUUGUAAUCCAACUUAUUAGCUUGUUCUGCACCAAGAUGAGGCAGGAUGUGGUUUGCAGCAGGUGUUGAACUGUAUGGAACCGGACCAGUUUGUAUUACGUCCUGAGUGGUUCGAUC